rnacentral:lncRNA from 1 species
AUGUCUGUUCCCUUCUCUUUCUAGUGUGCUGACAGCUUUUAAUCACAGUUCAGUAAUGAAUUUAGUUAUAACAAUGAAUAUUUAUUUGGUUAUCAGCAAGUGGCUUAUUGAGUAUAUUUCCAAGUGAAUACGUGGAAAGUGUGAGGCUAAGGCAGAGAAGCAACCUUGGAGUUGUGGAGGCAUGUUUAUAAGCAGAUCUGAGUUUUGCCACACUGGAAUUUAUUUAUUCAUUGAACAAAUAUUUAAUACCUACUACAAUU